AAGGGGGGGCCACGAAGAAUAAAAAAAUCGUGGACCCCCCUAUUGCGAGGGGUCAGUUAACCCCGGUGUACCAGUAGCAUGGUCUUAAUCUAUUCAAGAUCAACUAAAAUUUAUCACUCUUAGUUCUAUAAUUCAAUGGACGACGGCUAAAUUAUAUGAAAAAUCCCGCUUAUUGGGCUUUAUGGAUGAGUCUCACCUUUCUUGAGUUUUUUCAUAAAUGAGACUGCUUGUCCUGAUAAAAUGUCUUGAAAUAAGAGCAAUGCUGGGUGAACAAUCCCCUAGGCGUCCAGGGGAUUGUUCAAAUUCCUUUACCCCUGAAAUAAUGUAAUAGAAAGUGGUGGAUAAAUGAAAAAUAGUCACAAAUCCUAUAAAAUGUGUCACUAAAAUUAAUGUUUGACAUCAACCAUUAAACUUUAAGAAAACUAUAAUGUUUCCAAAACAUGAACUAAGAUGUACAAUGGGUGCAAAUGAUAAGUCAUUCUGUCAUUGUCUGCUUGACUAGAGCCUGUGUUCUUUUGCAGUUUGUGAUUGUCUCUCUCUCUGGAUGGGGCUUGCUCCUUUUCGGAGGUUACAAAUUCUUUAGCAAGAAAGAGAAGAAAGAAGAGAAAGUUGACGGCGCUCAUUAGGUUGGGUCUGUCUCGACACUUUUGGAAUAAAGUGGUUUACUUUGGGUAUCACUCUUUAGAUUCUAGAUCGGAUGCAGAUUAUGAUCUCUUUGAGAUGUCACUUGUUGUUGAUAACCUCGGAUCAGGGUGGAAGUGUUAGAAGCUCCUUUUCUUCAUUUUUCUUUAUAAUUGUAUGUUGAGAUUCCAGUAGUAACCUGGCAUUUCCAUAAAUAAAAGGGACUUAUAUCUUGCUUGCCAUUUCCUAUUGUAAAUUGAAGAGAUGAAAUGAUAUACAUCGGGAGGAGCGUUCUUCCUACACAUGGAUUUGACAA